rnacentral:lncRNA from 1 species
UCCUUAUUGGGUAAAUGCAAAGUAUAACACACAAGUAGAAAUUUAAUGAGAUUCCAAUCCAAUAUGAUUUUAUAAUUUACAUAGGAUAUCAAUUUUUACUGCUAGUAAUUAUGUGUUUUUUGGAAAUAUAGCUGCAUUAUAUAUCCAACACAAGUAUGAUUUUAUUCAAGCAGUUGUUCAAGAGACAAUACAAUGGCUUAAUAUUUAUGAUACUGAAGUUUUCUUUCUUUUUGAUUGUCUAAUAGAUGUGUAGUUUGUAAU